AAAAAAAAAAAAAAAUUGUUGUGGGUGGGGGCUAGUGCUUGCAGAGCUGGGUCAGUGAUAGCUUGGCAAUUGAUUUGUAUCUAUCCAGUCCAAGAAGAGGAUAUCUGGUUGUUGACGAGUGAGGGAGGUACACGUGGAUUAUUUUUAGCCACAUAAAUGGUUUAUUUUAGGACAAUUAUUUUUGUUUAUGAAUUUUAAUAAUGUUUGUGAGAAGUUAUUGUCAUUUGUCAUGGUGUCUGUGCCGACGUGGGACCCAUUAGGGUGAGAGUGGGGGGAAGAUUGUGUCAGUGACAGGAAGAGACACG
rnacentral:misc_RNA from 1 species